UUUAAAGGCCUGUCAGGCCCCACACCUUUUGUUUUAAGAGGAUUGAGAUCACGUGAGCUCUUCAUGCAAAUUGCCUGCACACGUAAUAAUGUCACAAAGGACGAUUCACUUGAAUAACUGGAUGACGUGUCUAUGGUUCAGUUCCGAAUUCCGCCUAGCGUCGACUAGGUUUUCUGUAAAUUAUUAUUCUUACUAGAUAUAUAGGUUGCUUCUUAAGACAAUGCUUCAAUGUAAAGUUUUUAAUUUCAAAAUGUAAGAGUGGACCGGCAAAUAAGGUAAAGGGUUAACCGACACUCAAAUGUGCCUAUUAAGUACGACAGAAGAAAGGCCGAAGGGGAAAAGUCAGGUGUGAAUCAGGCUUUAGACGCCGGUGUGGUUUUCAUGCGCCGAUCCUAAAGGUCCAUACACACCGAACGCAAUUCGACAACGCGACGCGAUUUUUCGAUUUUCACUGACCGAUAACUUUGAUCCUAGUUAAAUUUUCCAAAUACUUAGAAGCGCUAUAACAUUUUGAGUUAUUUGGUCCACAUAUCUUUCAAAAUUUGCUCUCAUUGGCUGUUUUAUUAACUUUCAAAAACUAAAAAAUCGCGUCGCGUUGUCGAAUCGCGUCCGGUGUGUAUGGACCUUCAGCCAUAAUGCAUAAUUUUUUUUCAUCGUACGUUAUAUCACAUGAUUAUCUUAUAUUUACAAUUUAGCACUUGUAUUGCCGAACUUGUGCCAUAUUUAAUUCAACCCAUUCUCUUCGUUUGUAUGAUCAAGCCAUUAGGUUCGCCGUCUAAACCGGGGCCUAAUGUAAUGUAGUAAUGAUGGUCAUUAUUAUAAUGUACAAAUAAAUAUACAGAC